rnacentral:rRNA from 1 species
CGGCACGGGUGAGUAACACGUAUGCAACCUGCCUGCCACAGCCGGAUAAUCGGGAGAAAUUCCGUCUAAUACGGCAUAAUGCAUCGACGGGACAUCCUGUUGGUGCCAAAGGUUGAUUCCGGUGCGGAUGGGCAUGCGUCGCAUUAGUUAGUUGGCGGUGUAACGGACCACCAAGACGACGAUGCGUAGGGGUUCUGAGAGGAAGGUCCCCCACACUGGUACUGAGACACGGACCAGACUCCUACGGGAGGCAGCAG